CAAUAGCGUAUAUUAAAGUUGUUGCAGUUAAAAAGCUCGUAGUUGAAUUUUUGCUUGCCGCCGAUGUCGGAACUUCCGUACGUUCGGCGGCGUGCAUCCUUGGGUGGAACCUGUGUGGCAUUAGGUUGUCGUGCAGGGGAUGCUCAUCGUUUACUGUGAAAAAAUUAGAGUGUUCAAAGCAGGCUUACGCCGUUGAAUCCGUUAGCAUGGAAUAAUAGGAUAGGACCUCGGUUCUAUUUUGUUGGUUUUGAGAGCUGGGGCAGCGAUUGAUAGGGACGGAUGGGGGCGUCCGAACUUUACUGUCAGAGGUGAAAUUCUUAGAUCGGUCAAAGGCGAACUACUGCGAACGCAUUCGCCAAGAAUGUUUUCUUUA
rnacentral:rRNA from 1 species